rnacentral:rRNA from 1 species
GGAGGAUUCAAGCGUUAUCCGGAUUUAUUGGGUGUAAAGGGAGCGUAGACGGUGAUGUAAGUCUGGAGUGAAAGGCGGGGGCCCAACCCCCGGACUGCUCUGGAAACUAUGUGACUGGAGUGCAGGAGAGGUGAGCGGAAUUCCUAGUGUAGCGGUGAAAUGCGUAGAUAUUAGGAGGAACACCAGUGGCGAAGGCGGCUCACUGGACUGUAACUGACGUUGAGGCUCGAAAGCGUGGGGAGCAAA